rnacentral:rRNA from 1 species
AAUGAACGCUGGCGGUAGGCCUAACACAUGCAAGUCGAACGGCAGCACAGUAAGCGCUUGCCUCUACGGGUGGCGAGUGGCGGACGGGUGACGAAUACAUCGGAAUCUACUUUUUCGUGGGGGAUAACGGAGGGAAACUUACGCUAAUACCGCAUAUGAUCUACGGGAGAAAGCAAGGGAGCUUCGGACUUUGCGUGACUGAUUGAGCCGAUGUCGGAUUAGCUAGUUGGGAGGGUAACGGCACACCAAGGCAACGAUACGUAGCUGGUCUGAGAGGAUGAUCAGCCACACUGGAACUGAGACACGGUCCAGACUCCUACGGGAGGCAGCAGUAGGGAAUAUUGGGCAAUGGGCGAAAGCCUGAUGCAGCCAUGCCGCGUGAGUGAUGAAGGCCUUCGGAUUGUAAAGCCCUGUUAUUGGGGAAGAAAAGCUGUGUAUGAAAACCUGGCUGUUCUGACGGUACCCAAACAGAAAGCACCGGCUAACUACGUG